rnacentral:rRNA from 1 species
GGGUGCUUCGGCGCCCGACCUCCAACCCUUUGUCUACCUUACCACUGUUGCCUCGGCGGGUUUGCGCCCUACCUUAACCGGUAGAGUGAACUCCCGCCGGCGGCCUACAACCAAAACUCUUGUUUAAACACCGUUUAUCUGAGAACAAAAACAAUAACUUCAAAACUAUUAACAACGGAUCUCUUGGUUCUGGCAUCGAUGAAGAACGCAGCGAAAUGCGAUAAGUAAUGUGAAUUGCAGAAUUCAGUGAAUCAUCGAAUCUUUGAACGCACAUUGCGCCCUUUGGUAUUCCGAAGGGCAUGCCUGUUCGAGCGUCAUUAUCAACCAUCAAGCUCUGCUUGGCAUUGGGUGUCGACCCCCCCUCACCGGGUGGUCUCGCCUCAAACUGUUCGGCGGUGGCUCAGGGCCUCAAGCGUUAGUAAUACUUCCCGCUUCGGAGAAACUGAGUUGCCUGCCUCCAGAAACCCCCAUCUCAAGGUUGACCUCGGAUCAGGUAGGGAUACCCGCUGAACUUAAGCAUAUCAAUAAGCGGAGGAAAAGAAACCAACAGGGAUUGCCCUAGUAACGGCGAGUGAAGCGGCAACAGCUCAAAUUUGAAAUCUGGCGCAAGCCCGAGUUGUAAUUUGUAGAGGAUGUUUCGGCGUCGGCCCCGUCCUAAGUUCCUUGGAACAGGACGUCCUAGAGGGUGAGAACCCCGUCUUCGGUCGGGUCGCCGUCGCCAUGUGAAACUCCUUCGACGAGUCGAGUUGUUUGGGAAUGCAGCUCUAAGCGGGAGGUAAAUUUCUUCUAAAGCUAAAUAACGGCCAGAGACCGAUAGCGCACAAGUAGAGUGAUCGAAAGAUGAAAAGCACUUUGGAAAGAGAGUUAAAAAGCACGUGAAAUUGUUAAUAGGGAAGCUCAAGCUGCCAGACUUGGCCUCGACUCUUCGGUGUCGAGGGCAGGCCAGCAUCAGUUCGGGCGGCCUGAUAAAGACCUCGGGAAUGUAGCUCCUCCGGGAGUGUUAUAGCCUGGGGUGUAAUG